rnacentral:lncRNA from 1 species
UCACUUUUUAACCGGAAGGAUUUUGAGAAAAUGAAUGACAUCAUGACGUAGAUCGCGUCGAUCUGAGUCCGGAGACACGUAGUGGGCUCAAAUCGGAGUUGUAACGAAGAAGUUAUGAGCUAUAGAAGCCUAGUGGCAUAACCGUAAAUAUUUCAAAAUGGGAUUUUAAAAAAUCUGAUUUUUGCUUCUCUCUCUCUCUCUCUCUCUCUCUCUCUCUGUCUCUCUCUCUCCGAGCUCCCCAUCGCGUGACAACUCCCCCCAGGUUUUGCAGCCUCCAUAUUUUGGCCCUACCCCUUCUCAGCCUCGAUUUUCUACACCUAUUGCUAGAAGAAGUAAAAUAUCGACUGGUUUUUACAUAAAAAUUCCGACACUCGUUUCAGAGAUUCUGACCACUAAUUUCUUC